rnacentral:tRNA from 1 species
AAAAGUUUAGUUAAAAAAUAACAUUAAUUUGUCAAAUUAAAAUUAUAUAAAAUAUAACUUUUA